rfam:Legionella sp. 40-6 scnpilot_expt_750_p_scaffold_15814, whole genome shotgun sequence.
UAUUGGUCCCCUCGCGGCGAUAAGUUAUGAACCCCGUCAGGCCCGGAAGGGAGCAGCGGUAGUAGCUGAUGCGAGCGCCGAGGUGUGGCUCUUAGAG